UGGGGAAUAUUGCACAAUGGGGGAAACCCUGAUGCAGCAACGCCGCGUGAGUGAAGAAGUAUUUCGGUAUGUAAAGCUCUAUCAGCAGGGAAGAUAAUGACGGUACCUGACUAAGAAGCUCCGGCUAAAUACGUGCCAGCAGCCGCGGUAAUACGUAUGGAGCAAGCGUUAUCCGGAUUUACUGGGUGUAAAGGGUGCGUAGGUGGCAGUGCAAGUCAGAUGUGAAAGGCCGGGGCUCAACCCCGGAGCUGCAUUUGAAACUGCGCGGCUAGAGUACAGGAGAGGCAGGCGGAAUUCCUAGUGUAGCGGUGAAAUGCGUAGAUAUUAGGAGGAACACCAGUGGCGAAGGCGGCCUGCUGGACUGUUACUGACACUGAGGCACGAAAGCGUGGGGAGCAAACAGG
rnacentral:rRNA from 1 species